ensembl:lncRNA
AAUACAGUAAAUGUUAACUGAAAUAAAAUAUAUAUGUAUAAAAAAAGAAGUUACAAAAGAACCAAUUUUCAUUUAUUUUAACCGAAAUAGCUAAAACCAAAACUGAAAUAAAAAUAACACUACAUAGACAUAUUAAAGAAAAACAACUGAUAAAAAAUAAAGUUUUUCAUCUGUAUAUAUAUAUAUAUAUAUAUAUAUAUAUAUAUAUAUAUAUGUGUGUGUGUGUGUGUGUAUGUGUCUGUGUGUUUAUUAAUACAUUUAAUUUCUAUUUUAUUUUCUUCUUCACUAUAAAUGUUACUAUAAUAAGCACGUUUCUGUCUCAGCACUUGAAAACAUUUCCGUCUCUCUAGAUCUUCAGUCCGUUGUCAAAGGCAGGGGUCGUCGGGUGUCGGACCCUGAGGAAACAGUAUCCCGUGCUUCCCCUCGAGCACUUCCUGUGCGUGUCACUCAAGAGCCGGGCUCGUGUCUCUGAUCAAAGGCCACGAACAGGAGCAGACGACAGGGUGAUGCUGAAGGAUGUCCUGAACGGCUGGGUCAGGGCCAGAUGUCCAGCACAGUCUCACUUCAUCACAUUAAUCCAGCCUCGGAUCCAGACAUGUUUCACAUCCGUCCAACACAAACACCAUCCUUGGAAAUGACAUGACAAGUGUAGCUCGGUUUGCUAGUGUUCAUCUGGAGUUUUCUCUCUUCAGCACUGUAAACAGUUUACUCAUCCAGACACUUCUCACUCAGAACUGCAGACAGAAGGCCGAUCGCAGCGUGAGCGUGACUUUCUCUCACACGCUGUUGUUGUUAUAUACCGCAGCGACGGAGCCAGCGAUGAUGAUGAUGAUUUCAUGCCUCUCUAGCUCAGGUUGGAGGAUGGAAGCUGGUUACCGUGGAAACAAUGGAAUCCUAAUAAAAUGGCCAUUGGUUUAAAACAAAACAAAACAAGGAAACUAUUUAUCAUUCGUCUCCUUAUAGUUUCAACCUGUCCUUCAGGUGCCAAUGAAUAAUCAGAGGACAGGCCAUUGAGCUCCUUACAGGGAUGGAGUGAUGUUUAUGAUGAUGUAAGCACUCCAGUUCACUCAUCAAACUCAUUACCCAGACAAAGAACACGCUGCUGUUUUACAUUUCAAAGAAGCUGAUUAGAGAAUUAGCUGAAUUCUCAUUAACCUUGAUAUGAGAGGCUUCGUUACAGAUUGAAGAUGCACAUCAAAGCCGUGCUGUUAUUGUGCUUACCUCAUCAAACUGAUGAAUUAGAGAUUUUUCCGUCCUGAUCUACACCUCCAGUUUAUCUUAAACGGAGAGCCGACCCUCAGAAAUAUCUGUCAUCAUUUACUCAUCAUAUGGGUUUAAAAUGACAUGAGGAUGAGGAAUUGACCGUUUAUUUAUUAUUAUUAUUUUUAACACUAUUCCUUUAAGGAAUCGUUUAUUUAUUUAUUUAUUUUAAAAUGUUAUCAUUUUAAAUUUGAAUUAUUCCUUAAGGAAUUAAUUUUUUCUCAACUGAGAAUGUCCAGGAAUAUAGUAUUUAUUUAUAUUUAGAGCUGGACAGUAUGGCGAAUAUAUAUAAUGCCAAUUAUAUCAACUGCUAUAUUGUGUAUAUUGCAGUAUUCAUUUAUUUUAGUAUAAGUGAGAUAGUAGCUUUUUUUUUCCUUCAUUUUGUUGCAUUUUAUUUUUAUUAGUUGUUUUUCUUUAAUAUAUUUGUAUAGAAAUUUUAUAAUACUUUUUUU